AUUGAACGCUGGCGGCAUGCUUUACACAUGCAAGUCGAACGAGUGGCGGACGGGUGAGUAACGACUCGGAACCUACCGAGUGAUGGGGGAUAACUGUCCGAAAGGACAGCUAAUACCGCAUAUUAUUCGAGCGGCCGAUGUGUGAUUAGCUGGUUGGGUGGGUAAAGGCACACCAAGGCGCCGAUCAGUAGCGGGUCUGAGAGGAUGAUCAGCCACACUGGAACUGAGACACGGCCCAGACUCCUACGGGAGGCAGCAGUGGGGAAUUUUGGACAAUGGGCGCAAGCCUGAUCCAGCCAUGCCGCGUGUGUGAAGAAGGCCUUCGGGUUGUAAAGGACUUUUGUCAGGGAAGCGGUACCUGAAGAAUAAGCACCGGCUAACUACGUGCCAGCAGCCGCGGUAAUAC
rnacentral:rRNA from 1 species